rnacentral:rRNA from 1 species
AACGAACGCUGGCGGCAUGCCUAACACAUGCAAGUCGAACGAGACCUUCGGGUCUAGUGGCGCACGGGUGCGUAACACGUGGGAAUCUGCCCUUUGCUUCGGAAUAACAGUUAGAAAUGACUGCUAAUACCGGAUGAUGUCGAAAGACCAAAGAUUUAUCGGCAAAGGAUGAGCCCGCGUAGGAUUAGGUAGUUGGUGGGGUAAAGGCCUACCAAGCCGACGAUCCUUAGCUGGUCUGAGAGGAUGAUCAGCCACACUGGGACUGAGACACGGCCCAGACUCCUACGGGAGGCAGCAGUGGGGAAUAUUAGACAAUGGGCGAAAGCCUGAUCCAGCAAUGCCGCGUGAGUGAUGAAGGCCUUAGGGUUGUAAAGCUCUUUUACCAGGGAUGAUAAUGACAGUACCUGGAGAAUAAGCUCCGGCUAACUCCGUG